rnacentral:rRNA from 1 species
UACGUAGGGGGCAAACGUUGUCCGGAUUUAUUGGGCGUAAAGAGCGUCUAGGCGGCCAGGUAGGUCUGCUGUGAAAACUCGAGGCUCAACCUCGAGACGUCGGCGGAAACCAUCUGGCUAGAGUCCGGAAGAGGAGAGUGGAAUUCCUGGUGUAGCGGUGAAAUGCGCAGAUAUCAGGAGGAACACCAACAGCGAAGGCAGAUCUCUGGGACGUAACUGACGCUGAGACGCGAAAGCGUGGGGAGCAAACAGG